rnacentral:lncRNA from 1 species
UGGAACGCUGCAUGUGGCGGCGACGACUUCGACACCACUACAUGUAACCUCGGGUACCUCCAACGACCAACUGAUUCACAUCUUAGCGUUGAACCACGUAGGUCCCCUACAUCCCGUCCAACACGAGUCGGAUCUUGCUGCCGCGACCCCGGCGACCUAUGCUCCGAGCAAGUUGUUGGUUCCUCUGGCAUCGGCCAUCUCUACUUGGACGUCACGAUUGCUGCCACGUGACUGUCCAAGGGGGCGGCGCGCCUCCCACAUGUUCCGGCUGGGGUUAUUGGCGUGGCUUCUUGUUCGGGUUGCAACGAAUUGUGUUCCCAUCUAUGGUAUGUCCGCGCCUCCUAGGGAUCUUUUGGAUGGAUGGCACCUUCUAUCGGGGCGUUGUUCGUCUCCUCUUGUGCCCUUCCAUGGCCAUACAUCCAUCACCUAGCCAGCUCCCCCAUUGUGGCCAAGAAACUGUUGUUUUCCAUGCCUCUCGAAGGGUCAUCAUGCUCAUGAACGCAGGGAUCCAUUCUGGUGCUUGGGAUGCCUCCGGUUUUGGUCACGAAGCAUGUUUCCAUCAUGCACAACAUCACACCGACCGGACUACCACAACAUGACCUGUUGCUCCACCAUCCAUCCUAGUGCAUGCAUCAAAUGUCGAUGCAACACGGGGUGAUGUGGCAUUGCAGCCCGUCCUCAUGGAGCACACUGAGCUACUCCGAUCCGAGCUUUGCGACUUCAUUACACGAAUUGGUAGUGUUUUGGCAAGUGUAGAGGUCGCUCUUGCCAAGCACGAGGUUGUGCCUGUUGUAUCCCUGCUGCCCGAGAUCCAAGUUGGUUAUGUUGAUGCAGAAGCAAACAUGUAUGAAGAUCUCUCCCCUCGUGCUACAUCAUGCUCGUCGUCACUGCCUGUCAUGUCGAUUGCUUCUGGGAAUGAAACCAUUGUUGAGGUUGUGGCUAUGGUGUUCUAGAUUAUGCCUGAGUUGUUGAAGCUUUGUGGGGAGCCCACUUUGCCCAUUUCGAUGGUGCUUACUGAGUAGAUGGGGUCACUUGGAGGGGGCUUCUUGAUGCCGAUUGAUACCUUAUCAUCGUUGUUGGAGACCGGUCAGCCGAUCACCUUUGUGGACCGUGGGGGUUUGGAUGCUGCUAUGGUUGUCACACCUAUGGUUGUUGGCCCGGUGGCAUUCAUGGGUGUCGAGGUUGAUGAGGUAGGUGUUUUGGCACCGGAUUCGGAUGCAUCGAAGACUAUCCGAUUCGUCGUCUUUUACCGUGAAAGUAUGUUCGUGCAUAUUUCUAAGCACAAUUGAUCCCUAAGGUGGUUUUGGUAAUUAAUUACAACAUAUGCAUCAUUGGACUAAUGAAUUUAUCCAAGUGCAUUUCAGAAAAGUUUAAAGAUGCUUUGUCUAUAGGAUUGUGUGGAGAUGCCCCUUCGAUGCAAGGAAGGAAUAGGAUUGGAUAAAGCUUCAAGCAAGAAGACUCUUCAUUUUACACUUUGUGAGAAAUCACUUUCAGUCCAUAGGAAAGUGAAUACUAUUAAAAGGGGAUGAGCUAUUAUGAUGAAUUGGUUUCUCAAGUGCUUAGAGAUAGCCACCAAAAAUACUCAAGCACUUUCCCACAAAAUAGAUCUGUCCCAAGCCAAAUAUACAAAUUGGUGCCACCAACAUUUUCCACUCAGCUAUAUUUUACACUUGGACAUAUCCUAUGCCAAUCCCACCAUCUCGGCACAACCACAAUUUGUAUCGGUGCCACCGAGAUUGGGUGACCAAUAUUCUGUUGAGGUAACUUCAAUUUUUGGAAUUUCCGAGUUUGAAGUCAGUCUCACCGAGUUUGGGAACCAGCCUAGGUCAUCGUAUCAGUACCACCGAGAUCCCUAUAUCGGUCUCAUCGAGAAGUCAAAGUUUCCACAUUUAGUGCAACUCGGUACCAUCGAUAUUAACAUUUUGAUGUCACCGAGUUGGGCAAUAAUGUUGUAACAGUUGGAUUUUGGGGGAUACCUAUAUAUACCCCUCCACCUACCUCUCACUCGUAGAGGAAGCACUCAGAACACACUUACACUUUGCACAUCCAUUUUUGUGAGAGAGAGCCACCUACUCAUAUGUUGAGAUCAAGAGAUUCCAUUCCAACCAUUUGAACCUUGAUUUCUAGCCUCCCCAAGUUGCUUUCCACAAGAUAAAUCUCUCCUACCCCUGCCAAAUCUGAGAGAGAGUGAUUGAGUGUUGAGGAGACUAUCUUUAGAAGCACAAGAGCAAGGAGUUCAUCGUUCUACCACAUCUAUUACCUUUUGGAGGGUGGUGCCUCCUACAUUGGUUAUGUGUCGCUUGGGAGCCUCGUACUUCGUGUUGUGGAGUUGAACCAAGAUGUUUGUAAGCAUAAGGAGAUUGCCUACUUCGUGAAGAUCUACCUAGAGUGAGGCUAUUUCUUUGUGUACGGAAACCGUGGUGGAAUAGACAAGGCCACUUCUUCAUGGACCCCUUGUGGGUGGAGCCCUCUGUGGACUCUCGUAGCCGUUACCCUCCAUGGGUUGAAAUCUCCACUAACAUGGACGUAUGAUAGCGUCACCUGUCAGAACCAUGCCAAAAAUCGCCAUGUCAACCAUUACGCUUGAUCUCCAUACCUCACCCUUUAUUAACACUUGCAUGUUUUACUUUCCGCUGCAAUACUCUUGGAUAUGCAUAUGUAGGGUGUACUUGACUAGUCAUAGUUGCUAAAACUGGCCCACACUAAAAAUUGGGAAAAGGCUAAGUUUUUAUCUGGUCAAGUAGUCUAAUCACCCCCCCCCUCUAGACAUACUUUCGAUCCUAAAAUAUUCAUGAGGCCUUCACGAAAAAUCUUUGUUGCUUGUUCAAUAGUUUGGAGGCAGCUAGCCCUGGGUUUGGCAAGGCGAAUGCCUACCUCCUAACUAAGGAGGCUUCUACGAGAAAAAUCAAGAAGGUGAAGAAGGCUCUCAGGAACAUAGGCAAGAAGAGGGGAGCCACUGGUAAGGCGUCUCCGGCUUCUUAAUGGAUGAUAUUCAGUCUCUUCAACCACCAUCUUCGAUUGGCUCGCCUUCGUGGAUGUGGUGGCGCCUGUUGUAUUCAAGCUUGGUUUUGUUGGGGGCUUCAUUAGGACUUAGAAGUGCGAGGGGUCAUGGUUCUUGUGCAUUAUGUUUGUCUGUUGAGUUGAUUGUGGGAGUAUGGAGUUUCUUUUUUAAUCUGUAGUCCGCAUGUGGUAUAUAUGUAUUGAUUGUCGCCCAAUUUUUUGUUAAUUAAUCAGGCAAUUCUCUUCCUCUUAAUUAA